rnacentral:lncRNA from 10 species
GCAAGGCUUACUCACUUUUGCACAGUUUCCAGUUCUACACCUCCUUCUCGUUCCUCAGUGUGAUUGGUCCAGAUAGCUGCCUUAUCCAACUGCCUCCUUUGGACCACUUCAUCAUGGGACAGCUUGAUGCAAUCUACUUGACAAGACCCUGGAACCCCACACCCCUCAUGGAACCAGUGUCCACCUCCCAGUCACAGUGUGACCCCAGGGAACUCUUGCCUGCUUGCUUUAAACCCACCACUUAAAAGUCUCCACAGAAAACCUGUUUGAAUAGUACCCUUGACCCAAUAAGGGCAUUGGCCCCUGGGUGUCUCUCUCUCUCUCUCUCUCUCUCUCUCCCUCUCUCUCCCUCUCUCUCUCUCGCUCCCUGACCUCUGCGUGUGGACUCCAGGCAUGCCAUAUACCCCUCAGGACCUGAAGCAAAAGAAUGAAUUAAAGAAAACUCCAGAGAAUGAGCUGACAACCUACUCCCUGGUCAGUGGCUCUCCAUGCCUACCUGUGGUCUCUUGGACACCCUUGCAGAAGAUGACUUCCUGGGAACUCUUCUGGGAGUGAAUGUUAUCAGCAAAUUCCCAAAACAACACCCCUUAGACAAAAAGCCUCCUCACCUAUGCAUUGCCUAGACCACCCACUAAAGGUGAUGGCCACAAAGAGGUGGAUUUGUUGAGUUGGUGCCAUUCCUUCUACUGCCAGCUUCACCAAAACAAUGACACAGUCUUCCUUCCGCAUGGAGACUCUUCUCUUUCCUGUGUUGCAGUGGAUGCCUCCUGCAGAUAAGAAAUGCUUAACUGAGAAAUGCUCAUGUUGGGAUAUCAUCGAUGAGACUUUAAUUUGGGCAUGGUGACUGUUUCCCUUGCUGCCACUUGACUCAAUCCCAGGAGCCUCAGUAGAGGAUAUAAUAUUACACAAGAUGCUCAAAAUGGUGGAAUUGCUCAGUGCUCCCAUAAAUAUACAUUUAUAAUUUUCAUUUGCCACAUGGUAAACUGAAAAAUACAGACUAUAUUAAAAAGAAACUGCAUGAUUUUUUUUCAAAAAUUCAAAGCAUAUUUAAAUAAUAUAUAAAUUAAAUGCCCUCCUCUCUUCCAAUUCUGUCCCUAUAGUUUUCCUCUAUUAAGUGAACUACAUGCAUUCUUUUAGUGGAUAGAUGCACACAAACACACAAGCCAUUAUGGGGAAGGAUCCACGUGUGUGGCCAUAUUGUAACACAUUUUUCUGCAAAUCACCUCUUUCAUUUAACAGCCCUUAUUCAAUGGCCUUUUUCUUUUUCAGUAGUACAUACACAUCUGUGUCAUUUGUUGAAUGACGACAUGAAUGUUUUGUAGAUAAAAUAUAAUUAAAUGUUUUAAGCAUUUCUCACUCAUAGAUAUUUAUGUUAGCACCAAAUUUCUGUGCAAUGAACCUCCCUAUAUAUCAGUAAUUUUGCAUUUGUCUAUAAUAUCAUAAUAAAUUACUUAUCAGUUGAAUUACUGGGAUUAAG